UGAAACCCUAGCCACUUGACCCCUACCCAGCGCCGUUCUUUCCCCCAAGGUUUGAAACGCGUUGCCAGCCAAAACCCCUCCAACGGAAAUAGAAACAGAAAGGGAAGUGGGGUGAGGGAUACACGGAGAAGGAAGGAAGGAAGAGGGGAGGGAGGAGCGUCGCCGGUGCGUCAGGCCUCACCACCGCCGUCGCGCCGCCUUGGAGUCCGCAGUCAGAGUCGUGUCGCGCAGAGAAGAGGAGAAGAGGAACUCAUCGCGUCGCCGCCACCCACGGAGCUGCGAGCUGCGCCCAGUUGCCGUCGGGGUCACCGCGCCAUCGUCCUUGCCAGCUCCGAACGAGAAGCACGAUGGAGCUCCGCUUUUGCUUCCCUGGUUCGCCGUGAGUGAGCAUCGUGGGAGAGAGGACGACGCGAGUUGGAGGCUCGGUUGCUGCUGUGCUAUGGAGCAGACUGAACCGCGCCGCGCUGUUGGGGUUCUCACUGUCGCCGGAAAAGGAUUCAGGCCGCCGCAGGUGUCGUGGUCGGAAGAGAAAGCUGUGCCCCUGUGUUUUGACCGCCUGGAGUGGUUCUGUCACUUCCGGAAUCACCGCCGGAGCUCCGGGCUGAGCCUCUGCUGCUUGAGACCCUGCUGUCGUCGCCGGAAAAGGCUGUCGAUCGCCGCUGCUGCUAGGGGCUGACUGCUGGGUUGCCGCCGAACCGGUUCGGAGACCGCCACUGUUUCGGUUCAACCGUUCCUUCUUCGGUUCAGUAAGCAUUUUGAUUUGAAAGCCCUUUAGUUACUGUCCUGUUAUCAUACGCUGAGGUUUGUGGCAUUAAUCGCUAUACGAUUGAGUUCUGGUUGUUGUAUGUUGCAAUUAGUGUUGCUAUGGUUAUUGUGAAUGUGGCUGGGAGUUGAGGUUUUGGUUGCCGUCAGUUCGGGUUGAGGCAGAAAUGGGCUUGAUGAGGCGUUUGGAUUAUAGAAUUACGUUUUGAGGAUAUGGGCGCAGAAGUUACGAAGAGCUUAUUUAAUUGUUGUUGUGAUGCUCUGUAUUGUUUUAGUUAUGAUUUACUGCACCAUCG